GACGUAGGGCGCGAGCGUUGUCCGGAUUUAUUGGGCGUAAAGAGCUCGUAGGCGGCUUGUCGCGUCGGCUGUGAAAUCCCUCGGCUUAACCGGGGAACUGCGUCUGAUACUGGAUGGCUUGAGUUUGGGAGAGGGAUGCGGAAUUCCAGGUGUAGCGGUGAAAUGCGUAGAUAUCUGGAGGAACACCGGUGGCGAAGGCGGCAUCCUGGACCAACACUGACGCUGAGUGAGCGAAAGCCAGGGGAGCAAACGGG
rnacentral:rRNA from 1 species